CUACAAUCUCCAUGGCGACGCUAGCACUAACCAAUCACACUUCGCGACAAAAGAUGACGGUGUCCGCGACAUGACAAGCUUCUCCAGCACUAACCUGCUGCCACACGAGGGAGCCAGAAACAAGACGGGCAGAGCAGGCUGCUGGUGAAAGUGUGCUGCCUGAAGGACUGAGGGUGAGAGAAGAAUAGUGAGGGCCUUUGAAAGGCGUAUAGCCAGCCACCAUCUCAUAGAUACUGCAGCCCAGGGCCCACCAGUCCACUGAUGUCCUGUAUGGAGUUUUGGUCAGGAGCUCUGGGGCCAUGUAUGCUCCAGUACCAGCCUGGCGGGGAGAAAGAAGAGAAGGGGGUAGAUUGAGAGGAGCAGUGAAACAGGUGAAUAUGAGAUGCAGAAUGCCAGUGGUGAUUUGCGCUGUAUAGUGGACGAUGCGCUUCAUCUCAAUGCCCUGGUCUGCACCCUUGCCGUCAU